CUGGUAUUGAUUGGUGCUUGCAUCAUGAUUUACAUUUGAGUGAGUGGCGAACUGGUGAGUAACACGUGGGAAACCUGCCCAGAAGCGGGGGAUAACACCUGGAAACAGAUGCUAAUACCGCAUAACAACUUGGACCGCAUGGUCCGAGUUUGAAAGAUGGCUUCGGCUAUCACUUUUGGAUGGUCCCGCGGCGUAUUAGCUAGAUGGUGGGGUAACGGCUCACCAUGGCAAUGAUACGUAGCCGACCUGAGAGGGUAAUCGGCCACAUUGGGACUGAGACACGGCCCAAACUCCUACGGGAGGCAGCAGUAGGGAAUCUUCCACAAUGGACGAAAGUCUGAUGGAGCAACGCCGCGUGAGUGAAGAAGGGUUUCGGCUCGUAAAACUCUGUUGUUAAAGAAGAACAUAUCUGAGAGUAACUGUUCAGGUAUUGACGGUAUUUAACCAGAAAGCCACGGCUAACUACGUGCCAGCAGCCGCGGUAAUACGUAGGUGGCAAGCGUUGUCCGGAUUUAUUGGGCGUAAAGCGAGCGCAGGCGGUUUUUUAAGUCUGAUGUGAAAGCCUUCGGCUCAACCGAAGAAGUGCAUCGGAAACUGGGAAACUUGAGUGCAGAAGAGGACAGUGGAACUCCAUGUGUAGCGGUGAAAUGCGUAGAUAUAUGGAAGAACACCAGUGGCGAAGGCGGCUGUCUGGUCUGUAACUGACGCUGAGGCUCGAAAGUAUGGGUAGCAAACAGGAUUAGAUACCCUGGUAGUCCAUACCGUAAACGAUGAAUGCUAAGUGUUGGAGGGUUUCCGCCCUUCAGUGCUGCAGCUAACGCAUUAAGCAUUCCGCCUGGGGAGUACGGCCGCAAGGCUGAAACUCAAAGGAAUUGACGGGGGCCCGCACAAGCGGUGGAGCAUGUGGUUUAAUUCGAAGCUACGCGAAGAACCUUACCAGGUCUUGACAUACUAUGCAAAUCUAAGAGAUUAGACGUUCCCUUCGGGGACAUGGAUACAGGUGGUGCAUGGUUGUCGUCAGCUCGUGUCGUGAGAUGUUGGGUUAAGUCCCGCAACGAGCGCAACCCUUAUUAUCAGUUGCCAGCAUUAAGUUGGGCACUCUGGUGAGACUGCCGGUGACAAACCGGAGGAAGGUGGGGAUGACGUCAAAUCAUCAUGCCCCUUAUGACCUGGGCUACACACGUGCUACAAUGGAUGGUACAACGAGUUGCGAACUCGCGAGAGUAAGCUAAUCUCUUAAAGCCAUUCUCAGUUCGGAUUGUAGGCUGCAACUCGCCUACAUGAAGUCGGAAUCGCUAGUAAUCGCGGAUCAGCAUGCCGCGGUGAAUACGUUCCCGGGCCUUGUACACACCGCCCGUCACACCAUGAGAGUUUGUAACACCCAAAGUCGGUGGGGUAACCUUUUAGGAACCAGC
rnacentral:rRNA from 1 species